rnacentral:rRNA from 1 species
CCUACGGGAGGCAGCAGUGAGGAAUAUUGGUCAAUGGACGAGAGUCUGAACCAGCCAAGCAGCGUGAAGGAUGACGGUCCUAUGGGUUGUAAACCUCUUUUAUAUGGGAAUAAAAUGAUCCACGUGUGGGAUUUUGCAUGUACCAUAUGCAUAAGGAUAGGCUAACUCCGUGCCAGGAGCCGCGGUAAUACGGAGGAUCCGAGCGUUAUCCGGAUUUAUUGGGGUUAAAGGGAGCGUAGGUGGAUUGUUAAGUCAGUGGUGAAAGUCUGCGGCUUAACCGUAAAAUUGCAGUUGAAACUGGAAGUCUUGAGUGCAGUAGAGGUAGGCGGAAUUCGUGGUGUAGCGGUGAAAUGCUUAGAUAUCACGAAGAACUCCGAUUGCGAAGGCAGCUCACUGGGCUGCAACUGACACUGAGGCUCGAAAGUGUGGGUAGCAAACAGGAUUAGAUACCCCAGUAGUC